rnacentral:lncRNA from 1 species
GGUUCGAAUCCCUGAAUUAUCUUUGUUGUCCCUAUUCUCUACUUUUCAAGUUUUUGUUCUUGUUUUGUAUGUUAUUGUGGAUAAUUUGUGUCAUAAAAGCGAGUUUGGUCGUUUAUUUUGGAUUAUUGUUGGCUAUUCCACAUGUUUGAAACAAAACUGAUUACAUUCUCAUGAUUUGUCCACUUUUGUUUUAUAAAUUUAUAUAAUUCCAUUUCAUCUGUUUUACUACACAAUUUUACAACUGUUAAUUCGUAAAUUACUAUGCUAGAAAAUCGUGAUGUUCUUCGAAUUAGAGGUCGGUCAUUUAAAGACGUAUCAGCCGUAUCAUAUACUUUGACGUAUCCGCAUCUGCAGAUAUACCAAAAAACAGUAUGUGAUCCCGAAAAUUUAAUUUUAUGUACUUUCAAUAAUGCAAAUGGGCGACUAAUUAAUUUCUAAUGCAGAAAUUUACAAAACAAUAAGGAAAUUUCGAGUUUUUAUGGAAUAUGUUACCCGACUUUAAAAGAUAUUACGGAUAGUUGGAACAGUUUACAGGCAUGAUAGGAGUGAAUACGGUAAAAUCGUUUGUUUGUGUAUGAACUUGUGCUCACGUAG